GGAAGAAGAAAAGAAGGAAUAGAGCGAAAGAAGAGAGAAAGAGAGAAGAUCAGAAAAAAAACCUGAUUCUGGCCUGGGUGCAAUUCAGAUGAAUCAUUUUUCAGCUUAAGUCCACUUGGAACCAAGCUCUAAUACCAAUUUGUUAUGUGUUAGACCUACACUUAAUCCAGAAACAGAGAAAGGAAGAUAGAAAGGGACUUGAUUGAGAAAAGAAGUAGAAAGGGGGAAAAUUUAUAGAGAAUAUAGAGAAGAAGAGAGAUAACUCUUUGUAUUUGAUUCUUCAAUGAGAAAUACAGGUGCUAUACUCAGUUCCCUCUUAUAACUGUCACAAACACACUCAACUAAUUACAACUGAUUCUCUAGCAGUCCUACAACUACUUCCUCCCUCUCUAUUAAUCCUUAUAUUUUCCCUCACAACAUACUAACUACUCUACUUCCUUAAU
rnacentral:misc_RNA from 1 species